rnacentral:rRNA from 1 species
CCUACGGGAGGCAGCAGUGAGGAAUAUUGGUCAAUGGGCGAGAGCCUGAACCAGCCAAGUCGCGUGAGGGAGUACUGCCCUAUGGGUUGUAAACCUCUUUUGUCGGGGAGCAAAAGCCGGACGUGUCCGGCUGUGAGAGUACCCGAAGAAAAAGCAUCGGCUAACCCCGUGCCAGCAGCCGCGGUAAUACGGAGGAUGCGAGCGUUAUCCGGUUUUAUUGGGUUUAAAGGGUGCGCAGGCGGAUUUUUAAGUCAGCGGUAAAAUCGUGGGGCUCAACCCCAUCCAGCCGUUGAAACUGGGGAUCUAGAGUGUGCGAGAGGUAUGCGGAAUGCGUGGUGUAGCGGUGAAAUGCAUAGAUAUCACGCAGAACCCCGAUUGCGAAGGCAGCAUACCGGUGCACAACUGACGCUCAGGCACGAAAGCGUGGGUAUCGAACAGGAUUAGAUACCCCGGUAGUC